UAUAUACUCCCUCCGUCCGGAAAUACUUGUCAUCAAAAUGGAUAAAAGGGAUGUAUCUAGAUGUAUUUUAGUUUUAGAUACAUCCCUUAUUGUCCAUUUUGAUGACAAGUAUUUUCGGAAGGAGGGAGUAUAAU
rfam:Triticum urartu cultivar G1812 contig1047730, whole genome shotgun sequence.